UUGGGAUAGCUCAUUUGGUAGAGC
rnacentral:tRNA from 1 species